AGACGGCAGACGAAACGAGGUGGACUGACCGACGACCAGAGUCGAGGGCAGCGCUUGACGGCAAUGCGGUGUGUGAGCUUCUUGUCGCUGGGCGCCAGCCUGCUGCUCCUGGGACCGGCGGCAUGGGGCUCGCCCGGCCAGUGCCCGGCCCAGUGUCACUGCCAUGGGGACCUGCAGCACGUCAUCUGUGACGACGUGGGACUGAAGAAGAUCCCGCAGGUGUCCGAGGCCACCCGCCUCCUCAACCUGCAGAGGAACAACCUGGGGGGCCUGUCCAGCGGCUCGUUUGCCGGCAGCAAGGGCCUCAUCUCGUUGCACCUGCAGCACUGUCAGCUGCGCGAGAUCAGCAGCAAUGCCUUCAAGGGGCUCAAGAAACUCGUCUACCUCUACCUGUCCAACAAUGAGAUCACCAGCGUCAAGCCGGGCGCCUUUGAGGACCUCGCGUCGCUCACCUACCUCUACCUGGACGGCAACCGCAUCAGCGAUCUGCCAAAGGGCAUCUUCUCGCCCAUGAUCAACCUGUUCAUUUUGCAGCUCAACGACAACAAGCUCCGCGAGAUCAAGCCAGGCACCUUUGCCGGGGCCAAGGACCUGCGCUGGCUGCACAUGAGCGGAAAUGAGAUUAGCUUGCUGCAGCCAGGCUCCCUGGACGACGUGGAGAACCUGGCCAUCCUAAACCUGGACGGGAACAGGCUGUCCACCUAUCCCAGCAUGGCCAUGAGCAAGCUGAGGGUGGUGGAGGAGCUGAGUCUGGCCAAGAACCCCAUGAGGAGCAUCCCAGACAAUGCCUUCCAGAGCUUUGGACGUUACUUGGAGAAGCUGAGCCUGGACAAUAUGGGCCUGGAGAAGUUCACUGAUGACGCAUUCAGCGGCGUCACGGCCCUGAAGUAUCUGAAUCUGGACAACAACAAGCUCAGGUUUCUGCCCAGGAGUCUGGAGUUCACCACCAUUACCAACCUCACGCUCUCCAACAACCCCUGGAGCUGCAACUGUGUCCUGGCCCCUCUGCGCCUGUGGAUGGACUCAAGCCGCCAGCGUCCAGAAGCCGUGUGUGCAUCUCCGGCCUCGCAGAGAGGAAAGCAGAUCAGAGACAGCACCGCAUUCAGCGGCUGUAAAGUCAAGGCAAAGAGAGCCAAGGGCAUGCGCCAUUAAAGGCAGGUAAUCUGACAGAGUCGAGGCAAAGAGAGCCAAGGGCAUGCGCCAUUAAAGGCAGGUAAUCUGACAGAGUCGAGGCAAAGAGAGCCAAGGGCAUGCGCCAUUAAAGGCAGGUAAUCUGACAGAGUCGAGGCAAAGAGAGCCAAGGGCAUGCGCCAUUAAAGGCAGGUAAUCUGACAGAGUCGAGGCAAAGAGAGCCAAGGGCAUGCGCCAUUAAAGGCAGGUAAUCUGACAGAGUCAAGGCAAAGAGAGCCAAGGGCAUGCGCCAUUAAAGGCAGGAGACGCUGCCAGGGGGGGGUGGGGAGAGGCGUGUCCAGGUGACGGGCUCGGCGCGUGCGCACGGGAAAUCGUGAAAGAAAUGCAAACUGCUACUUCAAGACUGUCCAGACCACUACCUGCCAUACACAGGGGGUGAAACAUGAAAUGCCCAAACACACACAAAAGAAACCCCCCAAAAAAAAACUGUUUAAAAAGAUUUGUGUGUUGGAGUUCACAGACACUACAUUCGCACAAACCCCACACAACACAGACAAAGAUGAAUCACUACACACACACACACACACACACACACACACACACACACACACACCUUUUUUUCAACAGCCAAGGAAUUAGUCAGGCAUCCCACAACUAACGGUCAGACCUUCAGGCAGCCAUGUUGACUCUCUUCCUCUCACUCUUCCUGAUGCCCCCCCCACCCCCUCCCAAAAGAAAAGUCCAAAUGAAAUGCUCCAUAGCCUUUAUCUACUAAAGGUCAGUGUCUCACAGUUUCACUCCACGUGAGACGUCCUAUGUCAGACAGCAGCCAUAAACAGCUGUCAUUGUAGCAUGAAUUGACAUGCCUCCCCCCCCACUCAAACUCUGACCAAAGGUGAAUGACACAUCGACACGGCGUCCGCGGCUAAGGACGUUCUCCCGAAAAGGUUGAGACAACAGAGCGAUGGCAGGUCGAAGUCGAAAACGAACAGAGUCAAAGAGGACGUGGACAAAGUGAGGACUCCAGGUCUCCAACAGUAUGUUUUGUUUAAAUAUUGUCUGUUAUAUGUAUUUAAUCUCCCCAGGGAUACAAAGAUAUUAAAAUGAUCACAUGAAUGUGGUUGGGCCGUUAUUGCAGUGCAUUUAGGUCAGUCAUCACAACGGGAAAUGGUGUACAGUUCCAAAUGGACAUGAGAAUAUGUAGCAAAGGUGUCAUGUCUGAGUCUUCUAUGAUAAAGAAGUAAUAUACUAAUUCUUUGGCCUUUUCCAACCUCUGCUGUAGUAAUGCUUCAGUCGUUAACACCUACAGACACUGUGUGACAUUGAAAACAACAGACUUUACUGCUUUACUGCUAUGUCAAUGGAUUGUCUUUAAGCAUCAGACAGCACCCAGAUUCUGGGAGCAUCAUCAUUCUUCACUCUUGAGCAUAUUUAUGUAUAUUGAAUAUAAUCAACUUGUUUUGACUUUUGGAGGUGAACAAUUCACAUCCAAUAAACAUCCAGGUAAAAAAAAGAAGUUGUUUUGUCAGACUUGAUUCCAUUUUCAACUGCUGUGCUCAGACCAGUUGACAGAGACAGACUCAAAAUCAAAGGGGUGGGGGGCCAACCCCUCCCCUGAAGAGCUACAGUUGUAUCCCAGUAUAACACCAUCUGAUUCAAUGUUGCUGUGUAGCUUAUUAGCAGAACCAUAUUUGUUUUUGCUGGGCCGGGACAAACUGCCUGGGUGAGGUUAACUCAACAAGACUGCCAACAUCAAUCCGUAAGGAUUCCCAGGUGUAAAAAUCUGUUGACGUA